AUAUUGAUUAAAUCUUGAGCAUUAAUUGGGCCAAGCUGUGCGCAACACGGAUCCCAUAAUUUUGUUAUCUUUAUUUUGCUAACUUUCAUAGAGCAACUUUUACAUCGUAUAAUUGUGAAAACUGUGCUCAAGCUGCAGUCACACUCUAUUAUAAAACAAAAACGAGAAAUAAGAUAGAAAAACAGAAAGUUCUUUUCCUUUCUCACCUGUCUCGUCGACUUCAAGUUUGGCCAACUGAAUUUGUCUCUUUGGCGCCGAAAUAAAUGAAUGAAGAAUAAAUAAUCAAACUUGCCAAUUAUAUCGUCAACUAAAUUUCCGUUCGAUCGCCUUGGACCACCUGUCCUCAGACAUUCAAUUUUAUAUCAUCAUCAUGCACAGAUUGUACGCGAUGAGAGUUCAAAGCUAAAUUAGAUUUGUUCAAUUUCACAUCACUGAGGACUGUGCAACUAUCUGCGCAAUUCAGAUUAAUAAAGACUUUAAAAUUGGAGACGAUCGUUCGUGAGAAAUGUCUUCAUUAUUAAUGAAAUGACUUCGGAGAUAAGGACGAUUGAAAAACACAUGAGAAGUAUGUCAGCUACGACACAGAACGUUGAUUUAUUAAAACAGUAAUUAACGAUUGAUUAGCGACUUCGACGACGAGAAGAAUUAAAAAUAACGGGGAUAAUUAUUUGCGGAAAGAACGAAAUCGUAGAGGAAGGUAGGGAACAAUAGAGUUUCUAGCAGAGUAUGGGAAGUAUUGCGAAUUUUAUAUUCGCAUUAACGAUGGCGAGGCAAAUCAGCUGUGACCUAUAGGAAGUACGUUCGCGUACAGAACGCUCAAGAGGCUAACAGGGUUAAGAAGUCUCGUAAACGUGAACGACUCGAGCGUCGAAUAUUCACAAUCGUCGCGCGGAAAUUCCACUUUUCUUUCUCUGGUGCCGAGUUUCUAACUUCUCGGGGGAACAAUCGUAAUGCAAACGUCGAAGUGAAUCGGGGCGAGAGAAGAAAAAAAGGAAAGAAGAAAAGAAAAAAAUGGAGAAGAAGAACGAAACGUGAAAGUGCCGUGACAACUGCAAGUUGUUUUGUAAAUACAGCGUUAGAGCGAAACGACGAGGAAAGACGACACAGUUUAUUCCAAGUAAUCAUUCCGUGUGAAACGAGCGAUUACAGCGCCUCAACGGUGAAAUACGCAAUACACUUCCUAUGAUUCUCGAACGUAAUCGAUAUUUCUCACGAUCGAUUUUUCUGCGGGAGAGCAGACCUAUAAUGGCGGAAAGAAGUACACAUCAUCUGUAAAAAAACAAGUGUCCAGAAAAGAAGUGUCAUUCAGAAGUUCACUCAGAAACACACAGUGAUGAUAUUGAAAACAAUGAUGGCAACAUUGCAGAGUUAGUGCAAUAACUACUGCAACAUUCAGGCGAUAAGGAUUUGCAAAUUCAAAGUAUUACGAAAUAUAAAUACACGAGACAAUUAUUUUUAA